UUUGGAGGUGAGCCUGCUGGAAAAUUACUGCCACGUGCAGUGACUGGGUGCCUGGGGCGGUGCAGGAGCAGUAUAAAAGCGGGUCCUUCUCCUCACUCUCUCAUCCACUCCUCUCGCCUCCACCUCUUUGGGAACAAGGUGAACUACCAGCCAGAAGACAUGUCCUGCUACAACCCCUGCCUGCCCUGCCAGUCCUCUGGCCCAACCCCACUGGCCAACAGCUGCAAUGAGCCCUGUGUCCAGCAGUGCCAGGACUCCAGAGUCUUCAUCCAGCCGUCCCCUGUGGUGGUGACCCUGCCCGGCCCCAUCCUCAGCUCCUUCCCGCAGAACACCACCGUGGGAUCCUCCACCUCCGCUGCCGUUGGCAGCAUCCUCAGCUCUCAGGGAGUGCCCAUCAACUCCGGGGGCUUUGGUCUCUCUGGCUUGGGCAGCGGCAUCUGCGGCACAAGGAGGCGUUUCCCCUGCUAAAGCUGCUGCUGAUGGCUCUGGGGAAGGACCCCAGGGACACAGAAAAUGGUACCAGCCUGGGGACGUAGCAUCAGGUUGUUGGUUUCAGAGGGUCUGAGCAACCUCAGCACCCUUGGCAAAAGGACAGGACCAGCCUGGUCUCUCAGAAAGUACAGCCCAUGCUGCCUUUUUCCUCUUCCAGUGUCCCCUUUUCCUCUUGUGUCCUUGUUCUCUUGUGCUCCCCUGGACUGUGAGCCCCACUAAGCCAGCCUAGGGAGGACCUGCUGGCCCUGCUCCCUCUGUGGGACGGGCAGAUGGACACCUGCCUGGGUGUUUCUCGCAGCUGCAGGGAACAGACACCUUUGUGCACCUGGUACUCCUUGCUCCGGGAUCUCCACUCAGAGUGACUUGUUUUUCUUUUUUUUCCGUCAUUAAAGUUCUGCUGCAUCCCA